UACGAGGGGGGCAAGCGUUGUUCGGAAUUAUUGGGCGUAAAGGGUAGGUAGGUGGUCUCAUUUGUCAGGGGUGAAAGCCUUGGGCUUAACCCAAGAAGUGCCCUUGAAACGGUGAGACUGGAGUCUUGGAGAGGGUCGUGGAAUUCCCAGUGUAGCGGUGAAAUGCGUAGAGAUUGGGAGGAACACCAGAGGCGAAGGCGGCGACCUGGACAAGUACUGACACUGAACUACGAAAGCGUGGGUAGCAAACAGG
rnacentral:rRNA from 1 species